GACAGAGGGUGCAAACGUUGUUCGGAAUUACUGGGCGUAAAGCGUGUGUAGGCGGCUACGCAAGUCGGAUGUGAAAGCCCCGGGCUCAACCCGGGAAGUGCACCCGAAACUGCGUGGCUCGAGUACCGGAGAGGUUGGUGGAAUUCUCGGUGUAGAGGUGAAAUUCGUAGAUAUCGAGAGGAACACCGGUGGCGAAGGCGGCCAACUGGACGAGUACUGACGCUGAGACACGAAAGCGUGGGGAG
rnacentral:rRNA from 1 species